rnacentral:rRNA from 1 species
AGCGAAAUGCGAUAAGUGGUGUGAAUUGCAGAAUCCCGUGAACCAUCGAGUCUUUGAACGCAAGUUGCGCCCAAGGCCAUCAGGCUAAGGGCACGCCUGCCUGGGCGUCGUGUGCUGCAUCUCUUUUGCCAAUGCUUGCCCGACAUACAAUUAGGCCAGUAUUGCAU